rnacentral:misc_RNA from 1 species
UCUCGGCUUAUCACCGGCAGUCUCCGUAGAGUUCUCGCCUUUACGCGUUAGCAACUACGGACAAGGGUUGCGCUCGUUGCGGGACUUAACCCAACAUCUCACGACACGAGCUGACGACAGCCAUGCAGCACCUCUGCACAGACCUCCGAAGAGGGGACCUCAUCUCUGAGGCUUUCCUGUGCAGUUCAAACCCAGGUAAGGUUCUGCGCGUUGCUUCGAAUUAAUCCACAUCAUCCACCGCUUGUGCGGGUCCCCGUCAAUUCCUUUGAGUUUUAAUCUUGCGACCGUACUCCCCAGGCGGUCAACUUCACGCGUUAGCUGCGUUACCAAGUCAAUUAAGACCCGACAACUAGUUGACAUCGUUUAGGGCGUGGACUAC